CUCAAGACGUGAUGGCAAUUUAAGCUCAACUGAUUCUUCAACAGUGUCCAUGGAGAAAACCCUCCAAUAAUAAGAGGCUUUGAGCACGGAUGCUUGUUUGUUCCUGGAAUUGGCAAGGUGGGCUUCAACAAACUGUGGGCUUGUUAUGAUGGACAGCCAGGUUUUGCAGACUGAUUUGAAGCGGAGAAGUGAUAUUACAGGAAGAUGGGAAAGUAUGAGAAAAACCAUCUCUUCGGAGAAAUAAUUAGUCGCCAUUGAGCCCUAGGAUGUUGUGUGUAUUAUAUAACAUUCAAAUGUGCAUCAGAAAGAUAAACAAGACCAUUACAAGAAUGAAAAUAACGAACCAUACUCUUACAGCAUGAUGACAAUUUGAACACUAUUAACGGCCGGUGUACUUAUUUUCUCUUGGAAUUAAGGUGGACUUCAACAAACUGAGGGUUUGUUAUAUAUAAAGAAUAGAUAGGUUUUACAAACUCAAAGCUGAAGGUGAUAUCACAAGAAGAUAUGAAUGUCGAAUAUUAUUUCUUCACAUAAAUAAUAGAUAGAUCUUUUACUCCUUAUUCAGCUGUAAUGAUGAUGAUAAAGUUGCGUUUUAGGGUUCCCGUUAUCGAACCCUAAUAUAUAUAUCCGUUGUAUUUAUUCUUACAAAUUCUGUAAAUUAUUUUAAGCUUUCUUUUCAAAAGGUUUAUCAAAGAGUUUAAAAUUAUUAAGAAAAUUAUAUACAAAAAUUUCAACCUAUUUUACAACAAAGCAGGGUGUACUUCGUAGACUCAAUGACAAGGCAUUAGACUAACCCCCUUGUGCUCUCUACAUUACACAAAUUUACGAAACAAACAAGCUGGUCCUAUUAUAAACACAUUUGCAGCAAUUAUGCUGGACUCUUCCUUUCCCAGAUAUGACCCUGCAAAAGAUUACAAGAAUGUCAGUCUAAGAAUAUCUGAUAACAUUUGGAAAAAAUGAACUCGAAAAGAAAACAAACGAUAAUUCUAUGGAAUUGAGCAUUCUUUCUUUCACAAUAUCAAAGUUACUUACCACUUCACGCUUGUGAUUCAAACCCCUCAAGAGAGACAAGGCUCUCAGUGAACUUGGCAACCGACUUGACAUCGGUGAGAUGAGCGGGGAAAGGAAGCUUCUUAGUGGUUUUCUUCUUGUAGUUGUAAAAUUUGUAUCCAAAAAUAAAAUUAAGUCCAAGAAAGUGUUGGGCGCCCAAAUAAAGAUACAUCCGAUCCAACUCUAAAUCCGUUUCAAGAUUGAACUUUUUAAUCCACAAGCCAGCAUCAUCUAACAUCCAAAGACUAAGGACUGAUUCAUCCCCAGCUGCAGAUUCAUAUACCAUAGCCAGAGAACCUUCAAAAUCCAAAAUUUUGGACUUCUUUAUCCUUUUCUGUUCCACGUUAUAAUCAAGAAACGGUAAUACUACAAGUUCUCCAAACACAUCGUUGCGCAAAUCAAACGGCAAUAGCCCACCGUCACCUUCCAAAUACAACUUCCCACUAAUAUCAGGACCACAGGAUCUCUUCAGCCUAUUCCAAAAAGAUAUUCUAAUAGUAUCCGGAAUACGAAUCUUUUUCCAAGUAUCAGCCUUUGCGGAAUACAACUGUGCUUCUGGUUUAAGAUUCAUGCUAACAAUAAAACCUCGUAAGUCACGGACAACCUUUGUUACAAUCCAAAGAAUCUUGUAGUCGUUUCCAAUAGAAUCAAAACCAAACCCUAGACAAUGCCUUACACCAAAUGCAUAGUUGGGCACAGAAAGCAUCUUAUACUGUCUAGUACACGGAUUCCAAAUACAUAUACUAUCAUAACAAUCAUUAGAAAGACAAACAAGACCAUUACAAGAACGCAUGUAACGAACCUUACCCUCCCAAUGUGAUGGCAGUUUAAGCUCAACUGAAUCUUCCACAGUGUCCAUGGAGAGAACCCUCCAAUCAUAAGAGGCUUUGAGCACAGAUGCUUGUUUCUUCUAGGAAUUAGCCAGCUGGGCUUUAACAAACUGUGGGCUUUCUAUGAUAGAUAGCCAGGUUUUGCACACAGAUUUGCAGCGUAGAAGUGAUAUUACAGGAAGAUAGGAAAGUAUGAGGAACACCAUCUCUUCGGAUAAAUAAUUAUUACAUCUUUUAGUGGCCAUUGAGCACAAGAAAUGAUUAUGAGAAUAAUAAAGUUGCGUUUUGGUGUUCAGAUAGAGGUGGUAAGAAGAGGGGUGCGAGACUAGGCAUUCUGAACCCUAUUAUAUAUAUACCCGCUGUACCCUACACAGCGAACAGACGCCUCCCUCUAUUUCUUCACUUCGCGACUCUUCGCGUAAAUUCUUUUUCUUUAUCAGGGAAAACGUCAUCAAUCUGCCUAAACAAAUCUGCGGGAAUAAUAAUUUUUGCCAUAACAAGAAUUUAUUUCUAAAAAAGUUUUAAAUUACUAAUUCUGCCGGUUAAAUAUUCUUUUUCAAAUUUUCUUUUUAUGAAUUAAAAUAUUAUACUUAUAAUUUUAUUCACAAAAGUAAAAAUUUCAAAUAGGUGAUUAAAUUACUUAAAAGUACAUGAAAAAAAGUUAGGAGACUAACAUACCCACAAAAAGAAUAAUUAAUAUUUGGUCACAUUUCUUUGAUUAGAUAUAUUUUUUGAAAAUGUGAAAUAAUUAGAGCAUGUAUCAAUUCAUAGUAGAAUAUCUUAAUGGUAUUUGAUAAAAUAAUGAAGUCUUAAAUAUAAAAACAAUUUUUACAUUAAUUUCUUGAAAUAAUUAAGUAAAGUAUUAUGUUUAUUAUAAUUCCUGAAAAUUUAAUAUUAAUGUUAUUGAUAUCGAGUAAGCAUUAUUCUGAUUGGACAAUUUUUUUUUAAAAAAAAUCAGUUCAAGGAUCAAUUCAAAAAAACAUAUGUUAUUUUACCAUCAUAACUUGUUUUAAGAUUAUAAACAAUAAGAUAAUUAAUUCUUUUAGAGUGUAAAAGAAUUGGGGCGUACCUUCAAAAAUAAAAAUCUCCUGCAAAUUCCUUUCAAAAAUAUGUUUUUAGAUCAAUUGAACUUUAAAAAUUACAAUUUAAAACUUCUCCGAUCUAAUAUGCAACUCCAUUUUUAUUAUAUUUUUCUCAAUUGAUUUGAGAAGUAAUUCCCUUUUGUAAAUCGUAACUUUCAAAAAUGAAACUUAAAAACAGAAAUUUGAAUAUAUAUUUCAGAAAACCAUUUUUUCGAAACCAAGUUAAAAGUGUAGGGUGUUUCUUUAUAAUUUCCCUAAAUAAUACUGUCAAACAAGCCCGAAAUCCGUUUGCUUGCUUUGGAUAGCAUUUUCAAGUCAAAUAAUUAAACGAAUGGGAAAAGUCAUAUCUAGAAGCACAUAAGCAACUAUAUAUAUUCAAGCUUCACUACCAUAAAAUCCACAGCAUGCAGAUGAAAAAGGAGAAGCAACUUUUACCUAUCCGUCUAAACAUAAUAAUUUUUAGCAACCAACAAAUCCAUCCAUUAUACCUAGAACCUAAACUUACAAAGCAGGGUGUACUUGGUACUCAAUGACAAGGCAUUAGACUAAAUUCACUUGUGCCAUCUACAUGCACAAUUUACAAAACAAACAAGCUGGUCCAGUUAUAAACACAUUUGCCACAAUUCUGCCCGACUCUUCCUUUCCCUUAAAUGACCCUGCAAAAGAUUGCCAAUGUCAGUCUAAUAAGCACUUGAUAACAUUUGUGAACUGUCGCAAAAUUCUUUAGAGAACCAUAUUUCACCUUGGCAUUGCAUUAUAUUACAAAAAGAUGAAACAUAAAUAAUUGUGGCUCUUUAAUUGGUAGAAGUAGCGGCUUCUUUAAGUGUAGAAGUCCAGUACACCCUUUCUGUUUAUUUUAUCCAACUUUAACUUGUUAUGCUAAUUGCUUUUGUUUUAGUUUCAUUAGUUGGAAAAUGGUGAAUGUAUUGCACUUGCAAGAAACAGUAUCAUGUGACUUGUGUCUCUGGAUUUUAAACGAAUUUCUUAGCAAGUUUAUCUAUUAUCAAUUCAAACUCUUUUAAAAAUUAUAUUAUAAUGUACCAAACACUGCACGAACUUAUAAGUCAAAUUAUCCAAACACUAAAAAAAACUUACAAGUUCAAGUAACCAAACACUUAAAUUAAUGUUUGACAAAUUAACAAUGAGUUGAGAAUAGUAUUAUUAUUAUUACACACGCACUAACAAAAUCUCCUUCACAAGUCCUGAACAAUGAGUAGAAUACAAUACAAGAUGAAUAUCUUACCUAUAUUCCUCUAUUGAAUAAAUUGAAUUUCCUUUUCUUAGUUAGACUAGCUGGUAAAAGCAAAAAUAUAAUAACAAAUCUCAAAAAAAUUCUGCAAGAUAACGGUAACAUGGUAGAUCCACAAAAAACCAGGGUAAUGGAUCCAUACAUCACAGGUACUAGAGUGUCUGAUAUACUAUAAAUGCCGAUAUCACAGAGCAUACUCAAUCUUCAACAUUUUUCCUGUUUUAGGAAUUAGAACACAGUGAGAAUAUAUUGGGAUGACAGUAUUAUGUUUAUAAUUACUGCAGGGCCUGAUAAAGAACAAUGUAUGUAAGUUGACACAUACACGCAAUCUAGCUAAGAUAUUGAAAUGAAAGAUGCCAAGGGGAUCAACCAUUAAAUCCUAAUAAAGCAGGGUAGGAGCAUAUUGACAAUGUUUGUGGAAAAAAUUGAGUAAACACAAGGCAACCAUCUGUGAUUCUUUUUUUAAGUAUACUAAUAAUCAGAUACUCAAAAACUACUAUUAAUAACUAAGACUAGAGAGCAAAGAGGGUGUUGAUAUAUGUCUAAGAAGUUGGAAAGUGCCUAUAUACUGCAAGUACUGGUAAUAACUAUAUAUGUAAGGACGUCGUCCAUCAACUCUAACUUGAUCCACAAAUCUAAGUUAGCCAAGUGAGAUUACAGGAGCAGAGAUAUCACUUAUCCAAACAAUGUAUGUAAGUUCACUUGUUUAAAUAAUUAGAGUGAAUUAGGAAGUAUAUAUACAAUGAAACUACACUUACCAAAAAAAAUAAACUCGAAAAAUAAACAAACAAUAAUUCUACAAAAUGGAGCAUUCUUACACAAUAUUAGAGUUACUUGCGACUUCAUUCUUGUGAUUGAAACCCCUCAAGGGAAACAAGGCUCUGAGUGAACUUGGCAACUGACUUGACAUCGGUGAGAUGAGCUGGGAAAGGAAGCUUCUUAGUCGUUUUCUUUGUGUAGUUGUAAAAUUUGUAUCCAAAAACAAAAUUGAGUCCAAGAAAGUGUUGAGCGCCCAAAUAAAGAUACGUCCGAUCCAACUCCAAAUCCAUUUCAAGAUUGAACUUUUUAAUCCACAAGCCAUCAUCAUCUAACAUCCAAAGACUCAUAACUGAUUCAUCCCCAGCAGAUUCAUAUACCAUAGCCACAGAACCUUCAAAAUCCAAAAUCUUAGACUUCUUUAUCCUUUUCUGUUCCACGUAAUCAGGAAACGGUAACACCACAAUUUCUCCAAACAAAUCAUUCCGCAAAUCAAACGGCAAUAGCUCACCCUCCCCUUCCAUGUACAACUUCCCACUAAUAUCAGGACCACAGAAUCUCUUCAGCUUAUGCCAAAAAGACAUUUUAAUAGUAUCCGGAGUACGAAUCAUUUUCCAGGUAUCAGCAUUUGCGGAAUACAACUGUGCUUCUGAGAAGUUACCCAUGUUAAUAAUAAAACCCCAUGUGUUACGGGUAACCUUUGUUACAAUCCUAAGAAUCUUGUAGUCAUUUCCAACAGAAUCAAACCCAAACCCUAAACAAGCCCCGACAUUAUUUAUUGAAUAGUUGGGGGCAUUAAGCAUCUUAUACUGUCUAGUACACGGAUUCCAAAUACAAAUAUCAUAACUACUUUCAUUGGAAAGACAAACAAGACCAUUACAAGAACGCAUGUAAUAAACCAUACCCUCAAGACGUGAUGGCAAUUUAAGCUCAACUGAUUCUUCAACACUGUCCAUGGAGAAAACCCCCCAAUAAUAAGAGGCUUUGAGCACGGAUGCUUGUUUGUUCCUGGAAUUGGCAAGGUGGGCUUCAACAAACUGUGGGCUUUUUAUGAUGGAUAGCCAGGUUUUGCAGACUGAUUUGAAGCGGAGAAGUGAUAUUACAGGAAGAUAGGAAAGUAUGAGAAAAA
rnacentral:lncRNA from 1 species